GCGAGUCAGCCGUCAGCGUUUCGCGCGUUUUCUGGAUUUACCGCAGCAGAGUUUGCAGCGACCUCCGUUGUGGUAUUUUGUUCCUCGGAGGCAUGCCCUCGGAAUCGGAAAAAGGAGGUGAUCAAUAUGCAGUCGUCAAGUUUCCAGAGGAAGGCAACUCUGUGGCUCUUGUACAUACCAAGUGGCUGCAUGGCGAUGUCUGCUUGUGGCCACAGGAUUCCAAGAAUGUUUCGUAUUUAGCAAAAUGUGGAGCCUCUCCAUCCUCCAACUGGCAAGUCGUGCCAUGUGUGCCCAUAGGCACAUUCAGAACAUAUGAUGCAGCGCGACAAAAGCUCAAGCAAGCUGAAGAUGGGUCAGACUUGGGGAGUGAAGUGGACCUGGGACGGGGCAAAAGAAAAAAGCAACGAAGAGCCCUUAGCUCAAGUCCGGAAAGUGUGCAGCGACUACCACUUCCACCGCCCUCUAUGAUGAAAAGUAUGUUUACUAUUUGUUUUUCACACUAGCAAGCUUUGUUCACUAUAUUCCUCGUAUUAAUUUUUCUAUGCCACAUAAUUUUUCCCAUUAAUAUGCUAAGUAGGCCUGCACCUUCAA